rnacentral:rRNA from 1 species
UACAGAGGGGGCCAGCGUUAUUCGGAAUUAUUGGGCGUAAAGGGCGCGUAGGCGGCUUUGCGUGUCUUUCGUGAAAUCCCUCGGCUCAACCUGAGGACGUGCGGAAGAAACUGCAGGGCUGGAGUCCGGGAGAGGAGGGUGGAAUUCCCAGUGUAGCGGUGAAAUGCGUAGAUAUUGGGAGGAACACCGGUGGCGAAAGCGGCUCACUGGCUCGGUUCUGACGCUGAGGCGCGAAAGCG